AUAGUUGUUUUUUUCAUAGUUAAAAAUUUCCCUGAUAGCCACCUUACAUAUAACUUACUGUCAAUCUACGUCCGCAAUUUGAAGCAAACUUGACGGAAAGAGUUGGCAAAGCGAGCGAUUACCUAUUAGUUACCUAUAACUUAUUCUGCAAAUAGACGUCAAAACUUACUGUACAAGUAUUUCCGUUAAAUUGUAGUAAAGUUGAAAGGAAAUUUAACUACAAGUUUGAUUGUUAACUUGUAUUCAAGUUGCGGCCGUAGAUUUCCGUCAAUUUGCUUACAACUGUUGUUGAGUGAAGAAUUACCGCCAACUUGAUGUAUAAAUUAACCGUAACUGCUGGAAGUCAACACUUACUGAGAAAGCGCUGGCUAUCAGGG